GCCAGCACGGUCAGGCCAGGAGGCGAAAGGUCAGGCGUGGGCGGCAUCACGAGGGUGUGCACAGGUGCCUCAGGCCAGGCAUUUAAGCGUGCCCCGGGCAGGGUGAGACCUGGACCCAGAUCUGGCACCACAUGGAACUGGCUCUUCCCCAAAGUCGAAAUGACGGUGGGAGAGAAUGAUUCAGGACAUGCAGGCAGCCGUGAAGGUGCCACUAAAGACCCACACGAAAGAGGACUUCCUGAGCUGCUGCAGAACCUGGCAAGAAUGAUAGUAUGAGAGUGUGUGAAUUGAGGAGUAUUUUUAGGAGGAUUAAUGGCAAUGUGUCUUUUACCCUAAUAAAUUUUUUUUGUCCCUAACACAUUUUUUUUAAAAUUUAAAUAGUCAC
rnacentral:lncRNA from 1 species